rnacentral:sRNA from 1 species
AUCGUUUUCCCCACCACUAGCUGUCAAACCCAACACGUUAGACUUCCGCUGAAAAUUCUUUCUUUCUUUCAUUGACCGUCUCCCAGACCACAAGGAAAAUGAGAGCUAAGUGGCGUAAGAAGCGUAUGCGUAGGUUGAAGCGUAAGCGCAGGAAGAUGCGUGCAAGGUCCAAGUAAUCGUAGCGCCUUCUCGCCUGUACGAAAUGGAACUUUUGCCCGACCACACAGACACAAGAACACGCCGUUCGGGCGACCGCAAAACGGAAGCCCUCAUGUAAUUUGGCAAACCAGUUUUCAUGAAAACGAGAAAUUUGCAUUUACAAUUCACACACUUGGAAAUUUCACGUAAAAUUGAUUCUAAUAAAUUACUUGGAUGUUCGCAAAGUUCCACGAAUGAAAAA